GCCCUUAUUAGCUAUGCUUCUCUGUUGUGCAGAGACAACAGGCUGCCUCGCUAAACGAUGCACACCUGUAACUCACGUGACCCUGAUUAUUAUUGAAACGAGAACGAGGACGUCGUGCCUUUAUAAGACUGCGUUAAUGUUUCCGUGGAGUUAACCGUUCCGUUGUUGUUUAUUGAUUGUUAAACAUGGCGUCAUUUGCAAAGGUGGUUGUGUGUGUCCUCGUUGCUUGUGUCUGUAAUGGUAAGUUUGCCCCUUGUUUCUGUUAGUUGCUUUUUAUCUUGAAAUUCUGUCUGAAAUAGUCACUCGUUUUGUCUUCCUUUGAACAGCAUUCUGUCUUCCGAAGAGAGAUGUGAACUUUAAGGCCUCUGCAGUUGACCGCCAAAGUGAUGAUGUGGUUGUCGCCACAACACCCGUUCCCCACAACCAGACCACAUCUGCCCAUACUGAAGCUGGUGGUGGUGCAAGUGAAGAUGCUGUGGCUACUACCCCAGCACCUAAUCCACACAACCAGACAACUUCUGCACAAACUGAAGUUACUGGUAGGGUGUUUCUUAGUUUUUGUGUGGUUUUCUGCAAGUUUGGUUUUUGUAUAAAAUGUCUAAGUGUGUCCCUUGGCUUCUCUUUGGCCCCCUCACUCAUGUGGAAUCCCAAGAUGGAGCCAGUGAAGAUGCUGUGGACCGCCAAAGUGAUGUGGUUGUCGUCACAACACCCGUUCCCCACAACCAGACCACAUCUGCCUAUACUGAAGCUGGUGGUGAGGUUUUCUUUUGCGAAAUGUAUGGGUUCUGUUGAGUCUUGGUUGUGUUGGUUAAAUGUUGACUCUUGUAUGUGUAUCCUAAGAUGGAGCAAGUGAAGAUGCUGUGGCUACCACCCCAACACCAAAUCCCCCAACUACAUCUGACCACACUGCAGCUACCGGUAAGGACAUCAGUGCAUGUCUGUUUUGAUGGAACACUUUGAAUGUUUGCGCCCCCCUUUUGACAGUUUCGCUUUAUAUUUCUGUGUAAUCGCAAGAUGAUGCAAGUGAGGGUGCUGUGGCUGCCACCCAAACUCCUGAAGUCCAGACUAAAUCUGCCCAAACUGGAACUACUGGUAAGGGAGUCAUGAUUAUACAAGGAACCACUUGGAUGAUUCGAACUGUUUGCUCUUAAAAAUGUAUUAAAAAGGAUUCUGAUGCAGAGCAAGGGUCUAGGAACUUUGAGUGUUGUGGUUUGGCAUGGUCACUCAUUAAUGUUUAAAAAUGCAGCCUGGCAGGUCUUUAACAAAUGUAUACCUGUGUCACAAAUGUAUGUUUGGUUGGUUGAAGUGGAACAGCUCUGCCUGGAGCAGGGGCAUACCGUAGGAUUCACCCAAUAAAUGUGCAAUUAAAAAGGUUUUUGUUUCUUCU
rnacentral:lncRNA from 1 species